AACAUCGCCAUAUGAUAAACCAUAUAAGGUCCUUCCUGCCCAAUGAAACUAAAUGGCCGCGGUAUCCUAACCGUGCUAAGGUAGCAUAAUAAUUUGCCUUCUAAUUAAAGGCUAGAAUCAAAGGAUAGACGCUCCCCCAUCUUUAUUGGGCUUAGAGAACGAAAUUUAUAUAAAGGUGAGGAAGCCUUUAAAAAAUAAAAAGACAAAAAGACCCUAUAGCGCUUCUCUUAAAAAGUAAAUAUUAAAUUACCAAAUAAGUUUGGUUGGGGCGACCCAGGAAAAUGAAAAUCUUCCUAACUAAUAGAAGACCAGGAAGUCAAUAACAUAGACCUCUUUCAAGAAUCAAUCGAAUAAGUUACCUUAGGGAUAACAGUCUAAUACACUUUAAGAGCCCAAAUUGACAAGUGUGCUUGGCACCUCGAUGUUGGCUUAGGGAAUCUUUUAGGUGCAGCCGCCUAUAGAGAGAGUUUGUUCAACUCUUAAUCCCCUA
rnacentral:rRNA from 1 species